rnacentral:rRNA from 1 species
AUUGAACGCUGGCGGCAUGCCUUACACAUGCAAGUCGAACGGCAGCACGGGAGCAAUCCUGGUGGUGAGUGGCGAACGGGUGAGUAAUAUAUCGGAACGUGCCCAGUCGUGGGGAUAACGUAGCGAAAGCUACGCUAAUACCGCAUACGAUCUAUGGAUGAAAGCGGGGGAUCGCAAGACCUCGCGCGAUUGGAGCGGCCGAUAUCAGAUUAGGUAGUUGGUGAGGUAAAGGCUCACCAAGCCGACGAUCUGUAGCUGGUCUGAGAGGACGACCAGCCACACUGGGACUGAGACACGGCCCAGACUCCUACGGGAGGCAGCAGUGGGGAAUAUUGGACAAUGGGCGAAAGCCUGAUCCAGCAAUGCCNCGUGAGUGAUGAA